rnacentral:tRNA from 1 species
GGCUGCAGCUCAGUGGUAGAGCACUUGCUUUGGAUGUACAGGGCCCUGGGUUCAAUACCCAGCAUGGCCA